GAAUUCGCCCUUAGAGUUUGAUCCUGGCUCAGGACGAACGCUGGCGGCGUGCUUAACACAUGCAAGUCGAGCGAAGUGCUUAGGAUGAUCUAUUCGUAGUGACUCCUAAGUAUCUUAGCGGCGGACGGGUGAGUAACGCGUGAGAAACCUGCCUUUCACAAAGGAAUAGCCUCGGGAAACUGGGAUUAAUACCUUAUGAUACCUUAACUCCACAUGGAGCCUAGGUUAAAGCGUAAAGCGGUGAAAGAUGGUCUCGCGUCCCAUUAGUUAGUUGGUGAGGUAAAGGCUCACCAAGACCAUGAUGGGUAACCGGCCUGAGAGGGUGAACGGUCACACUGGAACUGAGACACGGUCCAGACUCCUACGGGAGGCAGCAGUGGGGAAUAUUGCACAAUGGAGGAAACUCUGAUGCAGCGACGCCGCGUGAAUGAUGAAGGUCUUCGGAUCGUAAAAUUCUGUCCUAGGGGACGAUAAUGACGGUACCCUAGGAGGAAGCCCCGGCUAACUAUGUGCCAGCAGCCGCGGUAAUACAUAGGGGGCAAGCGUUGUCCGGAUUUAUUGGGCGUAAAGGGUACGCAGGCGGUCCUUUAAGUCAGAUGUGAAAUCUUACGGCUCAACCGUAAUUAGCAUUUGAAACUGGAGGACUUGAGUUAAGGAGAGGAAAGUGGAAUUCCUAGUGUAGCGGUGAAAUGCGUAGAUAUUAGGAGGAAUACCAGUGGCGAAGGCGACUUUCUGGACUUAUACUGACGCUGAGGUACGAAAGCGUGGGGAGCAAACAGGAUUAGAUACCCUGGUAGUCCACGCUGUA
rnacentral:rRNA from 1 species